UUGCUUUCAGUUGUUGAGCUGUAAUGAAUGAUGACGCCUGCUAUGGUAUUUUCUGGGCUUCAUGGACUGUCUGGACCAGCAACCCUAGAAAUUUGUUCUCUCCAGGAAGCCUUUGGAACAAUCAUAGACGAAAGCCUGGGGGCUCUAGCCUCCCCAUAACCCUGGCUACAUUGUCAACUAACACCCAGGACACCUGUAUCCUAUUUGGGAUGUAUCCUCCACUAAAAAAGCCUUUGUUGCUCAUUUGAAAUGCAAAUUUCACGGGGCUUCUGGAUUUUUUAUUUGCUAAAUCUGGCACCUCUAAUCCUUUGGCUGUGGGGCAACUAGCACUGUUACCAAGAAGGAGCCCUGGGAACCUUCUUUGUUUUGCGCUCUUUAUUUCCUGACUGAAGCUGCUUUGGAAGAGUCUGGGCUCCUGCACUCUCCGCUAGUACCCUGUCUGUGCACAGUGGCACUCACUUCCCCAGGACCCAGCCCAUGUAAAGAGGACCCUAUAUAAUCCACACAGUCUCCCUCCCCCCACCCCCGCCCACUUCUCACCUUCACACAGCACUUUGUUUUGGUUUGUUUUUGUUUUUUAAAGACAGAGUUUCGCUGCCUCCCAAGUGUUGGGAUUAAAGAUGUCCACCACCACCACCACCAUCACCACCACCAUCACAAUCACCACUGCCUGGCUCGGCAUGACCAUAGUCUGACUACUCCUAGCUUGCCCUUUCUGCCUCUCUCUCCUCCACUGGCCUUGCAAAGCCCGUGCCUUUAUUUGCUGUGAGCUGCCAUGUGAGGGCCGUCCCACGUAGAGACCAGCGUGCCAAAGACCAGAGAUGGUGAGAAGACAGAGGCCUUCAAUCCAACAUCCCACAAAGAACUGGAUCGUGCCAACAGCCAUGUGUGAGAUCUUGGAGGUGGAUCCUUCCCUGGCAGAGCCCCGGGGACACCAUGACUGAGACUUGCAGCUGCCACACCUGUAUCCAUCACUGCAGGAACUGAGAUAACUGAAGUUCUUGUUUAGGACACUCACCCUUUGGGGGGCUCAGUUACAUUGUUGCAGGCAACUCUGACUGGGAAAGGGCAAAAACCGAUAGUGAUUCUGAUCCCCAUAAAAACGAGAGGAGGGCCCAGAGAAUUGGAUCUGCAGCUAAGAACACUUGUUCUUGAAGAGGACCCAGGUUUUAUUCCCAGCACCCACGGGGCUCACAACUCCAGUUUCAGGGGAUCUGAUACUGUCUUCUUACCUCCGAGGGCACCAGGCACAGAUGUGGUACACAUGUAGGCAAAACACCCCUGGACAUAAAAUAAUAAAUCUAUAAAAAGAUUUAAAAGGGAAUGGGGAGACAAAAUGAAGUAUUAUUUAUUAUGGAGCAAGAGAUGGGCACAGGGCUAGGUGGUAAAUGUUCCGUCGGCAUGCAGAGAUUCAUUUCUACCACAUAGUGGCUCAACCUCAGUUUCCAUCUCAGGUCUGUGUGCCUCCUCCUCUGCUGAGUUUCCGUAAGAGGCCUCAUGUCAUGUUCUCCAAAAUUUCUCCCAGCAUCUCCUUGUCUCUCUGAGGCCAAAUAGUAGUAAUCUUGGCCCUGAAACCUUAAGUCUGAUAGUCUUUGGAUGCCCCCUUGUGGACAGUUGUUUUCAUUCGUGUUCUCUCAGCUAAAGGGUGUCUGUGUGUGUGUGUGUGUGUGUGUGUGUGUGUGUGUACUCUGUUUCCAGAUAAAAUAAGAAGGAUAUCCCUUCACCUUCCUUGCUGGCUAAGGAAGGAUGGCUUUACAGACUCUCAGCUUGCCUGCAUGUGUAGAUGGGAGAGCUGCGUGUGCUCCCACGGCGUCAGGGGAUCCGACACCGUUGUCUUA